UGAUGGCCAGGCUGUCUCCACCCGAGACUCAGUGAAAUUGAACUCGCUGUGAAGAUGCAGUGUACCCGCGGCAAGACGGAAAGACCCCGUGAACCUUUACUAUAGCUUGACACUGAACAUUGAGCCUUGAUGUGUAGGAUAGGUGGGAGGCUUUGAAGUGUGGACGCCAGUCUGCAUGGAGCCGACCUUGAAAUACCACCCUUUAAUGUUUGAUGUUCUAACGUUGACCCGUAAUCCG
rnacentral:rRNA from 1 species